rnacentral:lncRNA from 1 species
CAAAACCCAUAACUAGGUUUAUUUUAAAAAGAGUUAGAUGUUUGAAGGCCUACCACUCGCACAGUAACUCAACAUUGUAAAGAGUAUCCUAAACUUCAUAUUGGCAUGUUUAAAGCAUCACUGCUUCGGUAUUAGUUUAGUACUAAUCAUGUACCGGAUUAACUAGUAAUCUAGUUGUUUAUUAGAUAUAUUGCAUUGGGUAGACGUAGACUCACUACUACGUACACGGUUCACACACGGUAGGAACGAUCCUUCGAUCAAUUAUUGGUGUGUCUAUACAUAUAAUAUAUAUAUAUAUAGAUUUCUAAGCUGCGGACGUCCGCACCGAUUUUUUGGUGCGGAUUUUUAUUUUUGCAUCAAUUCCCGAUCGAAUUUCUUCAAACUUCCUUCUAGACAUAUCUAGAUCAUCUUGUGUAGAUCAUCUCUGCAAAAUUUCAGCCAAUUUGGUGAUCGUUAAGGCCCUCAAAAUCGAAAAACAAAUCUGACGGACUGAAUUCUGUCCGGUUCAGGUAUAUAACAGAAAAAUGCAAGUUUGAGGGCUUUAACGAUCACCAAAUUGGCUNNNNNNNNNNNNNNNNNNNNAAGUUUGAGGAAAUUCGUCCGCACCAAAGUUUUUGGUGCGGAUUUCCAUUUUUGCACCACUUCCCGACGAAUUUCCUCAAACUUCCUUCUAGACACAUCUAGAUCAUCUUGUGUAGAUCAUCUCUACAAAAUUUCAGCCAAUUUGGUGAUCGUUAAGGCCCUCAAACUUGCGUUUUUAUGUUAUAUACCUGAACCAGACAGAAUUCAGUUCGUCAGUAUUUUGUUUUUCGAUUUUGUGGGCCUUAACAAUCACUAAAUUGGCUGAAAUUUUGCAGAGAUGAUCUACACAAGAUGAUCUAGAUAUGUCUAGAAGGAAGUUUGAGGAAAUUCGAUCGGGAAGUGGUGUAAAAUAGAUAUAUAUAUAUAUAUAUAUAUAUAUGUGAUCUGUGUGGGAAUUUAGACAUAUUAACAACUAGUGAGCUCUUUCCAGGUAGGCAAAUUAAAAGAGAAAAUGUUUGUAUCAAAGAAUGGAAAAGAACACCAUAAAGCAACACAUGAAAUGAUAUAUAUGUAGACCUUUAAGGUUGUUGAGAUAUCAAUCUCACAUCGGGAAUAUGAGAACUUGUCUGUGGGUUUAUAAGGGUUUGGGUCACUCCACCAAUUGCCAAUUGGUUUUAGAUAUGAACUCUAGACUACUUUAUCAUGGUAUCAGAGCGGGUUACUUAUGUCCACAUGUGAAGCCCAAUGACCACACAAACUUCAUGUCACCCAAAUGUGUUGUCCACGUAUUAGGCUUGAAAAUUCGCCACACAUGCGGGGCGUGUUGAGAUAUCAAUCCCACAUCGGGAAUAUGAGACAUUACAUGUGGGUUUAUAAGGGUUUGGGUCACUUCACCCAUUGUCAAUUGAUUUUGAAUGUGAACUUCAGACUACUUUAUCAAAGGUUCUAUAAAAACCAUUCAUUUUAUGAGCUUUCAAUAUGUAGAACAAGAUCGAACACUAUGAGCGUGAUGAGGGAGGCUGCCUUCACAAAUUCUAGAGUAAUGGACGAUCCAGAAAAUGGGAAUGGUGACCCAUACAAAGACUUCAAGCAUAUCAAACUCCCAACUGUUCUGGGUAGGGCUUAUUUCUAAUGGAGAGUGACAUGAAGGACCAUAAUGUGUUACAAAAUUAGUGGACGUAAAUUGGUACUCUUAUUUGAGAAAGGAGCAAAGCAUUUCCCCAGUUGUUGAUUAAGCAGCUAGUGUUUAAUUAGUGACUAAAAUGAUCACUCAAGUCAUGUUGAAAGUCUUGUACAUGACAACCGAUGAUGGGUACAAUUAGGGCGAGCACGGCCGUGAAGGAUAAUUGGUGUUUACUUAAAGUGCAUCAAAUCAAAUGGGAUCUCGAUUUCACAAUUUGAUGAAGAUGUCAUAAUGAGAUUAGGAAUAAAUCUCCUUUUUUAACUUAUCUUAAUUAGUUAAUGAGCUUUUUCCCUACAUUUGCUAGCUAGUUGUGUGACACAAGCGGGCAUGGCAUCCAAGUAUUAUGAG